rnacentral:misc_RNA from 1 species
CCCGCAAAAACCGACGAGUCGGAACCGAAAAAAAGUUCAGAGCCGUGAACUUUUUUUCGAUUUCUGCGGGAUAUCGUUCCACGCGACAUUUUAUGGCGCACAGCGGCAUUCUUUUGUUUUGUUUACUUCUGCCUUUUUUGAAGUGACAGAAGGUUGAGUAGGUGUCAGUUUUCAUCCGAUUUGUGUAGAUUAUAGUCGUAUUUUCUGUGUUAAGUUGUUCUGGAUAUUCACCUACCUACGCAUCAGUAUGGAACGUGCAAUGAGAGAUGAAGAUGGAGAAAUGAGUGGAGAAAUGGACUUCAACGAAUCAAUAAUUGAAGCAGUCAGGAAGUACCCAGGUUUGUGGGACAAAAAGUCGAAGGACUAUGCAAAGAAAAAGACUGUAAAAGAUCUUGAUUGGCAAAGAGUGGCAGCUGAGUGCAGAUGUGAUGUGCAAGCUGCCAAAGAGAGGUGGAAGUCUUUGCGGGACUACUAUCUGGCCAGAAAAAGGAAGACUCUGCCCAGUGGAUCAGCAGCACCUGCAGGUGGCCAUCAGCACCUAGGACCCUAUGGGAAUAUGCUCAGAUUUCUGGACCCCAGCACCCAGCGUGGGCCGUAACUCUAGGGCUAGGCGCUGAUCAUCCAUUGCCAAAACACUAGGCCAUCUAGAGGACACAACCAAAUUAGUCUGGUUAAUAAUCUACCCACCAAGGGAGCCUUCAGUGAAAAUGGAAAAGAGCAGAUUUAUUGCUCUGGCUCGGAAGUUCAAUGCUGUUCUUUUUGAAGAGAACGGCCUGCUGUCCGGCGCGCUGCCGCUGGUAGUGGCCGGCCACACAGUGGGCCUGGUGCGUGCCGAGCUGUUGCCGCUGGUGCGGGCCGCCUCCAUGUUCCACGUGACUGAGGGCGCCGUGACGCUGGACCCUGCGCUGGAGACGCCCGAGGCGCGCUCGGCGGCCAUGGCCGAGCUUCUGCAGCGCUGGAGGACGCAGGAAAACCUGGUGGCCCUGCGCGGCUGGAGGAACGAGUGUUAUGAUGUGCGGGCGUCCUUCUCCAGCGCUCCCCUACUAAAGAUGGAACGGUCGGCUACAUGUGUGUUUGGGAUCCGGCAGUACGGGGUCGACCUGAACGGCUACACCCACCACCCGGAGCGGGGCUUCUGCGUCUGGAUCCAGCGCCGCUCGCUGGAGAAGCCCACCUGGCCCGGCAAACUGGACAACAUGGUCUCAGGCGGCCUGACGUCCGGGCUCGGCCUACUGGAGGCCGUGCAGAAGGAGGCCUGGGAGGAGGCCGGCAUCCCCGAGCACCUGCUGCCCGGUAUCCGGUCGGCCGGCGCCGUCUCAAUCUGCUACCGGAGCGAGCGGGGCCUGUUCGCCAACACGGAGUUUGUGUACGACCUCGAGCUGCCGGCCGACUUCACACCGCAACCGCAGGACGGCGAGGUGGAUGAGUACCGCCUGAUGCCCGUCCAGGUUCGUCUACGGUAAAGGGAGCGCCACAUUCGCCAACCAUGCCUUCUGCUUCGAUAUCCAGCUUGCACCCGAUUUCCAGCCGAGAAAUCAAGACGGGGAGGCGGAGGAGUUUAUGCUGGUUACACCUAAGGAGCUAAUGGAGCUCGUCUGUAGCCCCGAGUUCAAGACGACCAGCGCGCCGGUCACCCUCGACUUCCUCAUACGGCACGGCUUCAUCACACCCAACAACG